UUUGAAUUUCAUACUUGAAUACGCAGAAACUUUUAGGCCCCCAAAAUAACUCAGAUUUGUGAGGAGAAAGAUACUGACUUUAAAAGCCCAGGAUCAGUAAGAGACCCUGAGAUUCCUGAGGCUACCUGGAAAACAUUACAGGGGAAGUGUAUGAAGAAACAGUAUUUGGAGGAGAAAGACCUAGAGGAACUGAAGUCUGUUAGUGAAGCUUGAAGCUUGAUCAGCCUUUUGUGAGAACAGCCAAAAAGCACAGUGCCAGGAUUGAACUCUACUUGUGCAGGAUUGAACCCCAUUAGUCUUUUUAUGCCAGGGAAUGGUGGAGAAAGAAACCAGCUGUAGUUCUCUGUUUUGAUAUACCCAACCGGUAUUUGGAAAGUCUGGAGUCAGUUGUAAAGAAGAAUACAUUACAGAUAAUUCAUCAUAAUUGGGUGGUCAAACUGGGGAGACCAUCUGGACCUUUACUUUCUGUAGGCUAAUUUGCCAUAGCCUAAUAACAGGGCAUACAUAGUAAAUAUCCUUUUUUGUUAAAAUUUUUUAAAAAUUGUAAUAGUUAUGUUAGGAUACUUUGUUAGAAUCUAGAAUGUGAAAUAACGUACUUCAUGUGUCUUCUUACCAAAAAUACCAACGAUAAGGGGAAAAGCCAUCUUUAAUUUAUUAAAUCAACUUGAAAAUGGCAAACAAGAUAGCAGAUCAGGAAAUGUUCCUGGGUUUUCAGAAAGGUAACAUACUAAAAGAAGGUUAGUUACCUAGUACCAACAAGAAAUUGUAAUAGUGGGCUGGGCGCGGUGGCUCACGCCUGUAAUCCCAGCACUUUGGGAGGCCGAGGCGG
rnacentral:lncRNA from 1 species